rnacentral:lncRNA from 1 species
AUGCAUGCUUGUGUGUUCACAAGAGAAGAGCAUUUCUUUUGGCCGGUUGUAGGCAAACAUUACUUAUACCAUGUUUUGGCGUGCAGUAAUUGUUGGCCCCAGGCUUGGAGCAGGAGCUUGGGUAAUCAUGGGAGAUGCGAAGCAGUGAGUGCGACAGUGCCAACGAAGUGCUUAAUCCAUGCAGGCUGGGAGAAGCAGAAGGAGAUGUUGCUCAUCCAGUUCCACCUUGUUCGUUUCAUGUCCCGUGCUGUUGCCCAGCUGGGAUCCUUGAGGACAAACACAUCACUGUGUCCUGGCCCCUCCCCAGGGCUGUGCAUGCACUGGCCAGUGAAGCAAGAGAGAGCAAAGUGGGAUGAUCUGUCACUACACCUGCAGCACCACGUUCGGAGGACAGCUCCUGCUCGCAGCUUCUAGACCCAGGUAAACCUCCCCCAAAACCGAAACAAUCCCCUCCCCCCACAACAAACUGAGCGGGCAUGGUGCAUGCAU